rnacentral:rRNA from 1 species
GACGAACGCUGGCGGCGUGCUUAACACAUGCAAGUCGAGCGGUAAGGCCCUUUCGGGGGUACACGAGCGGCGAACGGGUGAGUAACACGUGGGUGACCUGCCCUCAGCUCUGGGAUAAGCCUGGGAAACUGGGUCUAAUACUGGAUAUGACUCCACGGUGCAUGUCGUGGGGUGGAAAGCCUUGUGCGGCUGAGGAUGGGCCCGCGGCCUAUCAGCUUGUUGGUGGGGUGANGGCCUACCAAGGCGACGACGGGUAGCCGGCCUGAGAGGGCGACCGGCCACACUGGGACUGAGACACGGCCCAGACUCCGUACGGGAGGCAGCAGUGGGGAAUCUUGCGCAAUGGGCGAAAGCCUGACGCAGCGACGCCGCGUGAGGGAUGACGG